AAGUACAAAAUUCCAUAUUUGUAAUGAAUUUUCUGUUGCGUAGCUGCCAUGUCACAAAGCUUGAAGAGCAGUUACUUUCCUGAAGCACAAGUAGCAUAGAACUGUUGAAGUUUGCUAAACAAUGUGAAAAGAAGAGGAGGUGAUCAUGGCGCAUGGUCCAGUUGAAGAAACAUGAGAUUCAAACUAGACAACACAUCAGCCACUAAAUUCUGGUUUCCAGCAGGCAUAGUCUUUGCAGGAAUUGCAGCAUCAAGCUCAUGAAGAAACAAAAGCAGAUUAUACCAAAUCAUACUUUGCAAGAAAAUAAUCUGAGGUAAAAGAAAAUCAGAUUCAUCUUUAUACAUAGCCUUCAUGAGUGGAAUUCCAAGGAUCAAAGUAUUAGGAAGUGUUGAUAAUGAAAGUCCAGUUAUAAUCCAUUUCAAACCACCUCUAAUAUCACCAAUCUUAAUGAUUGCAAUUAAAACUAAGAAUGCAAGAAAUUUUUGAACAAAAUCUGCAUAUAUGAGUUUAAGACUCAUUUUGUAAAUAUUAUUAGAAGAUAUAACUUGAAAUGAUAACAAUGGAACUGAAAAAUUUGCUACAAAUUUGUUUAUUCCUGCACAUUGAUCUGGAGUGAAAAGUUUCCACCAUUUAACACAAAUGUAAGCUAGUAACAUAGUUACAUAUAAUGGGACAGUUGCUGUCACUACAUGAUAAACAUCAAUUAAGGAAAUCAUGAUGAUGAUAAUGAUAAUGAUAAUGAUAAUGAUGAUGAUGAUGUUGUUUA